ACAGCCGGUUGUGAUACAGCACAUUACAAAGCGUGUUUUUCCUGGGUAGCCUCGGUUAUGUGAAAAUGGCUAACGUAGGCCUAACCGGAGAAAUAAAAACUAAGGUUAUGAUAAAGGAAUAGGUUACAUCGCCGUGGAAAUGUGCUGCGAGAGUGAAAUCUCCAGUUUAGAAGACCAACACGGUAGACGAAUACACAGCUGGCACAGAGUGCAAGCAGUCCAAGGACUGUAACGUGGUGGCCUUUAAGCUGAUCCUGAUCCUAGAUGACCUGCUGUGGGUGCUGACUGACUCCCAGCUCAAAGCCAUGGUCCAGUACGCCAAGUCACUCAGCGAGGCCAUGGACAAGUCUGCUCAGCAGAGGAAGAGCAUGGCCACCGAGGACCAGCUCACUGGAAACAGACCAAUGAAACCUGCCCUGGUGCUGGAGUAAUGGCCUUUAUUUUAUGAGGUCUAAGUACAACGCUUGUGUCCAAUCUGACAACACGGUCUUCAUUGAGUUGGUGUGUGAGCUCCAAACAGUGUGUUUCUCUAUUAAACAUGUGUCCAUUA